UAUUGAUUUCCGGGCACUUCCGUAUACUCAUAAAGCUUAGUAAAAGAUUUUCUGGAGAAGACGAGUUAGUUAGAUGAAGGCUAGGCAUUCUAGGACUCUCUAGCUAGCUAGUAUAGCUAUGUAGCUGGAUUGCUUGGCAUCUAGGAAGGAUCUUCUAAGAAAUAAAAAGACAAAGACUCCCGUCGCUCCAAUGGUCGUUGCGAGUGUCGGAGGCCUGAGAAACAAUAGUCUAUUGGCUAGAAUGUAGUUAUGGAGGGUUUAUGAAGACAAGUGGCACGGGAUACAUACAUCUAAAGAAAGCUAGCUAGCUAGAUAGCUGCUCUUUCUAAUGAAUUUCUGUUGCUAAAUUAUGUUUGUUAAGAAGUGGAGCUAUAAUAUACCUGGCUCCCUGGGAAUUUCCCCUCACGUAGACAGUAAAUUUCAUUGUAAAAAAUGAACGUUCGGUGAGUUUCUUCAACGUCCGCGCUUGACCUGUUUAAAGCUUUGUAGAGAGCCAAAUUUUUACAGGUAGGUAGAGGAAGGGCUGAAGUUAGCACCUGUGAAAAAAAAAUUUUUUUGCCCAUG